rnacentral:rRNA from 1 species
UUAUGGAGAGUUUGAUCCUGGCUCAGGACGAACGCUGGCGGCGUGCUUAACACAUGCAAGUCGAACGGAAAGGCCUCAGCUUGCUGGGGUACUCGAGUGGCGAACGGGUGAGUAACACGUGGGUGAUCUGCCUCGUACUUCGGGAUAAGCCUGGGAAACUGGGUCUAAUACUGGAUAGGACCAUGCUUUAGUGUGUGUGGUGGAAAGUUUUUUCGGUACGAGAUGAGCCCGCGGCCUAUCAGCUUGUUGGUGGGGUAAUGGCCUACCAAGGCGUCGACGGGUAGCCGGCCUGAGAGGGUGGACGGCCACAUUGGGACUGAGAUACGGCCCAGACUCCUACGGGAGGCAGCAGUGGGGAAUAUUGCACAAUGGGCGCAAGCCUGAUGCAGCGACGCCGCGUGGGGGAUGACGGCCUUCGGGUUGUAAACCUCUUUCGCUAGGGACGAAGCUUUUUGUGACGGUACCUAGAUAAGAAGCACCGGCUAACUACGUGCCAGCAGCCGCGGUAAUACGUAGGGUGCGAGCGUUGUCCGGAAUUACUGGGCGUAAAGAGCUCGUAGGUGGUUUGUCGCGUCGUCUGUGAAAUUCCGGGGCUUAACUUCGGGCGUGCAGGCGAUACGGGCAUAACUUGAGUGCUGUAGGGGAGACUGGAAUUCCUGGUGUAGCGGUGGAAUGCGCAGAUAUCAGGAGGAACACCGAUGGCGAAGGCAGGUCUCUGGGCAGUAACUGACGCUGAGGAGCGAAAGCAUGGGGAGCGAACAGGAUUAGAUACCCUGGUAGUCCAUGCCGUAAACGGUGGGCGCUAGGUGUAGGGGUCUUCCACGACUUCUGUGCCGUAGCUAACGCAUUAAGCGCCCCGCCUGGGGAGUACGGCCGCAAGGCUAAAACUCAAAGGAAUUGACGGGGGCCCGCACAAGCGGCGGAGCAUGUGGAUUAAUUCGAUGCAACGCGAAGAACCUUACCUGGGCUUGACAUAUGCAGGAUCGGCGUAGAGAUACGUUUUCCCUUGUGGUCUGUAUACAGGUGGUGCAUGGUUGUCGUCAGCUCGUGUCGUGAGAUGUUGGGUUAAGUCCCGCAACGAGCGCAACCCUUGUCUUAUGUUGCCAGCACGUGAUGGUGGGGACUCAUGAGAGACUGCCGGGGUUAACUCGGAGGAAGGUGGGGAUGACGUCAAAUCAUCAUGCCCCUUAUGUCCAGGGCUUCACACAUGCUACAAUGGUCGGUACAACGCGCUGCGAGCCUGUGAGGGUGAGCGAAUCGCUGAAAGCCGGCCUCAGUUCGGAUUGGGGUCUGCAACUCGACCCCAUGAAGUCGGAGUCGCUAGUAAUCGCAGAUCAGCAACGCUGCGGUGAAUACGUUCCCGGGCCUUGUACACACCGCCCGUCACGUCAUGAAAGUUGGUAACACCCGAAGCCAGUGGCCUAACCUUUGUGGGAGGAGCUGUCGAAGGUGGGAUCGGCGAUUGGGACGAAGUCGUAACAAGGUAGCCGUACCGGAAGGUGCGGCUGGAUCACCUCCUU